UACGUAGGGGGCAAGCGUUUGUCCGGAUUUAUUGGGCGUAAAGAGCGCGCAGGCGGUCGUGCAAGUCGCGUGUGAAAGCCCCCGGCUCAACUGGGGGAGGGUCACGCGAUACUGCUCGACUUGAAGGCAGGAGAGGGAAGUGGAAUUCCCGGUGUAGUGGUGAAAUGCGUAGAUAUCAGGAGGAACACCGGUGGCGAAGGCGGGUCUCUGGGCCGAUACUGACGCUGAGGAGCGAAAGCGUGGGGAGCGAACAGG
rnacentral:rRNA from 1 species